rnacentral:lncRNA from 1 species
AUUAUGGGGCUCUUCAACUUUUCCAGUCUGAGGCGUCUGGGCCCCAGAGCUGCCAUCUCUGGGCAAGGGAGGUAAAACACUCACCACAUGUUCCACUUGCUCCCUGGCUCCUCCCACACUGCUGUAGGGAACUUGGGGACAUGGGACAGUUCUGGCUACUGAAAUCAACACCGGACAUUCCAGACAGAGGCCUGCAUGAGCCUUGGUCCCUGAGCAGCUACAUGGCACAGAGCCCUCCUGCCAACUACCAUGGUUUGAGUUGCCUGUUUAACUGUAACAUGGACCCGCUGACCAAACUCUUCCCUUUCUCCUUCUCCCCUACCCUUCUCAGCCCCCAUUCUGUGAGAUCAUCUAUUUUAGAUGCCCCAUAAAAGCGAGAUCAUUUGGUAAUUUUCUUUAUGUGCCUGGCUUGUUUCAGUUAAGAUAAUGUCCUUCAGGUUCAUUCAUGUUGCUGUAAAUGACAGGAUUUCAUUCUUUUAUAUGGCCAAAUAAUUUAAAAGAGCAAAAACAAGCAAAUAAAAUUAGUUUUAAUUGUAUAUAAUAUAUUAAUUUACUCAAAGUACCAUAAUGUAAAC